UGCUAGAGUAGCUUCGUGGUCGAGUGGUAAGGAUACUGGCUUCUUACCCAGGAGUCCCGGGUUCGAUCCCCGGUCUAGUAG